rnacentral:rRNA from 1 species
UACGUAGGGUGCAAGCGUUAAUCGGAAUUACUGGGCGUAAAGCGUGCGCAGGCGGUUGUGCAAGACCGCUGUGAAAUCCCCGGGCUUAACCUGGGAAUGGCAUUGGUGACUGCACGGCUAGAGUGUGUCAGAGGGGGGUAGAAUUCCACGUGUAGCAGUGAAAUGCGUAGAGAUGUGGAGGAAUACCGAUGGCGAAGGCAGCCCCCCGGGAUAACACUGACGCUCAUGCACGAAAGCGUGGGGAGCAAACAGG